GGAUUCUGGGGGGUCAGCCAGUGAUCAUU
rnacentral:rRNA from 1 species